rnacentral:rRNA from 1 species
UACGUAGGGUGCAAGCGUUGUCCGGAAUUAUUGGGCGUAAAGAGCUCGUAGGCGGUUUGUCGCGUCUGCUGUGAAAACCCGAGGCUCAACCUCGGGCCUGCAGUGGGUACGGGCAGACUAGAGUGCGGUAGGGGAGAUUGGAAUUCCUGGUGUAGCGGUGGAAUGCGCAGAUAUCAGGAGGAACACCAAUGGCGAAGGCAGAUCUCUGGGCCGUAACCGACGCUGAGGAGCGAAAGCAUGGGGAGCGAACAGG